rnacentral:rRNA from 1 species
UACGAAGGGGGCUAGCGUUGCUCGGAAUCAUUGGGCGUAAAGCGCACGUAGGCGGUCUGGUAUGUCGGAUGUGAAAGCCCUUGGCUUAACUGAGGAAGUGCAUCCGAAACUGGCAGGCUAGAGUACUAAAGAGGGUCGCGGAAUUCCCGGUGUAGAGGUGAAAUUCGUAGAUAUCGGGAGGAACACCGGUGGCGAAGGCGGCGACCUGGGUAGAUACUGACGCUGAGGUGCGAAAGCGUGGGGAGCGAACGGG